rnacentral:lncRNA from 10 species
GGAACAAAAAGGAUAGCUUUGGGGAAUGCCAGCCUUUCCAAGGUCUUCAGUCAACUGAUGAGACCCACCCACAUUAGGGAGCAUAGUCUGCUGUACUCAGUCUACCAAUUCAGCUAUGAAGCUCCUCCAGAAACUCCCGCACAGCCACAUCCCAAAUAAUGUUUGGCCAAAUGUCUGGGUACCCUGUGGCCCGGUCAAGUGGACACAUGAAAGUCACCAUCACAGUGGGGUCCUCAAGGAAAGGAAUGAAAGAGACAAUCCAGCUUUGCAUUUAGCACUGAUGCAAUGGCCUG